GUGUGUGUGUUUUCUGUUUCUAAGCGCCACCUGGUUAAAGCCAGCGUGUGCGAUAAACAGCGUGUAGAGCGUGAGAUAGCCCCUUGUGUACACACGCAUACCAGUUCAAAAUAUGCGCUGGUCGCUACACUCGCUGUUCAACCGAUGAGCAGAUGUGUAAGGGUAGCGAAGUAUUGAGGUGUAAAUAAAGCAGUUUAGGCACUUUUUUUCCUUCGUUCAGUCACAUGGAAUUGGCCGCGUGUGCCUGACUGUGCGUAUGUGUAUGCGUAUGAUAGCGCAAGUGGAGUAUUCUAAAGCUCUAAUAUCUACUCAGCUUCAACAUAUCGACCCUGUGUCUAUUGGUAUUAUUAGUGAAGUUAUUAGAGUAACCUCCGGGAAGUCCUCUGGAUGCAUGUCCGUAUUUUACGGUUCAAUAUUUUAACCUCAAACAUAGUAUCCACUCAACAUUCAGAUUGUGCUGUAAUCUUACAACUGUAAGAUAAAAUAUCUCUCUCACUUAACGCGCUCUCUUUCUCUCUCUCGCUCGAUCUGGGUCUCCUCGCUCUUCCCAAGAACGGCGCAUAAACCGUCGGGACCAUCAACCAGGAACAAAGGAAAACCCAUCGUGCUGCUGCUGCUGCUGGUGCUGCUACACAACACCACUUGGAUGUAUCGACCAAAAGGGAAAGACCCCGAAAGCAAUCUACCGACCAACACCAACACUAGCUCACCAGCCCUGGCAGAACCACCUCCCACCCUAUUCCCUUUGCUGCCCUUCCCUGCAGCACACCGCCAGCCACCGGGAUAGGUCCGGCCCCGGCUUAACGAAAACUACACACACAAUCCGCAAACGCAUCUGCGAUUAAAAGAAAAAGCGGAGAAGAAGAGAUGCAAGAGAAGCAAGAAUGCAGCGAAACAGCACGCACGCACACCACAACACACGCACACACAUACCGCGUCACGGUGGCCCAUCGUACACACAAAAGCUGUUCAUCACUGAUGGUGACUGAACUCCAACAACUUCGUGAAGCAAUCUAACCACAGUGAAUCGCCUAAAAAACGCAUUUAACGCGAGUAGUGAGCACCAACAAGGGUAAUGUGUGUUUACAACAACAAUUGGCUUCUUCUUCUUCUUUCUUGGCCCUACAACCUCAAGAGGUCUCGGUCUGUCAUUUAUGGCUUGUGAAGACCGGCGCCGCUAUCGCCUCGGCCACCGGACCGCCCCGUUCACAAUUGGCAGCCGGAACAAAGAUAAUGCUGCGGGGACAGUCCCAUGACCGAUGCCGGUGGAAGCUGUGCACCGGGACCGAUCAUCAAAUCCCAUCCAGAUGCCGUCUCCCGGCGAGGACAAAAAACCAGAAGUUAGCCAGAAAUUGAGGCAACCCGUGUCCGCUCAACGGCUACCAAAUGAAAAAUGCUUAGGAAUGCGAAGGAAAAAUCACCACUUUUCACCACAUUUUUUGGCCACUCAGGGGCAGUGUGUGCAUCCCAGGACAGGGACAAUAAGGAAAUGUUUGCCAACAAUUUUCUAACACAUACUCCACCUUCGCUGGUACAACAGUAUUGCAAGAAACCACGAAAAAUGCACAUUCAACCACUAAACCAACAAAUCUUCACGAUUCCGGAUUUCGUGGGUGGAUGGGUGGCCCGCGCACUUAAAAGGAAAGGAAAAGAAAGCGCACACAGAAGAGAAGAGACAGAAGAAAGAUAAAUAUAAAUAAACAAUCAAACCCCAUUUGAUGGGUCUGUGGAGCUGCUUGUGGGCGCAGUUUUAAAAUGCACCUCAUCCACCGCUUGCCGUCCCAUCCUACUCCCUGCCCCGCCUCCUCCAAUGCAUUAUAUGAGGGGUCGUAAAAGUAGAGAAGCUAUAUCUGUGUGUUCUCGCUGGAGCAGAUCUGUUGUUUAUGUUUUGGUUUUCUGUUGAUUUAUUUUCGAUACCACAAUAAUACUGUGUCGAUCUGGUUUUUUUUUAUUAUGCUAGGUUUACUUUUCUGUUUUUCGUUUCAUUUACUGACGCUUUUUGUGUGUUUGUGUGCAGUUUUUGCAUAAUUAAUUUCUGAUUUAUUGCAUUGUUUAUACUUUUAGGGGCUCUACAAUCUAGGGGAGGUGUUGGUAUGCCAAUGCAGACUUUCCUGACUUAGUUUACCCGCAGCUAGAUAUUCAGUCUAGCGUACGGAGAGACGAUUUUCUCGAUAUCUGGUCUUGCCGCGGCGCUGGUCUUCACACGACAGGACAGGGGGGGUUCAAAUCCCAUCCAGAUUCGCUUCCCCGUAAGUAGGACUGACUAGUUUACUACGGGUAAAACUAAGUCACAGAAAGCAAGAAAUGGCAGGGCGAGACAUCUCAAGGCUCUAGUGCCAAAGAAGAAGAAGAAGAAGAAGAAGAAGAAGAAGGUCUUGCCGCGUGACGAGCCUCACCGCUAUCGCCACGGCUGCCGGACUGACGCUACAAAAUCAGAUCAGGGAUCGUUUGUGAUUAAGAGCAUCGGCAAAGAAAUCAAAAUUGUAUGAUAAUAAGAAACUCUUAAAGUCAUCAGAACAUAGCUUUAGAGCAAAUAUAUAAUUAAAAUUGAUCUACAUAUAGCGUAAAUGCAUGUGACUUUGACAUGUCAGCCCACCUUACGCCUCGAUGAAAUUUAAACAGCGAACAAAAUUCUAGCUGGACAUGACGUUAACGUUGACGAAAUAUUGGCUUAGCUUAACAAUAAUAAUCGAAAAUUUGCGCCGGUCUUCAUACGGCAGGACCGGGGCUCAAAUCUCAUCCGAACUGUUUCCCUGUAAUCAGCACUGACUAUCCAACUGCGUGGUAUCGUGGCAGGCAUGAUCUAAGAGGUCGUUAGUCCAAAGAAGAAGAAGAAGUAGCAGUAAAUAAAAGACACAGCGGGUAAAACACGACAUAUUCUUCGAAAACUUCCUAAGUACUGUGACAAUUAAAAAGGAAGCAUAAUAGGGCGGGCCUGAAGGUGGAGGCAACAAGGGGCGCUGGACUUCAUACGGCAGGACCGGGGUUCAAACUACCCAAUUACGUGGUAUCUUUGAGUCUAGUAAGCCAGAAAUGGCAGGCAUGACAUAAAGAGGUCGUUAUGCCAAAGAAGAAGAAGUAGAAUAGGCAUGAGUCACACUGUAAAUGGUCAAAAAAACACAAAUUUAGAAAAAAAAAACUGGAUUUCAGCAGCAACACAACGGACUCUAGAAGGCAGAUGACAUAAGCUUAUAUUUGCGAUUCAGUCGUCAAUUUUCGAAUAUGAGUAGAGAACAGUGAGUUCUUCUCUUCGGCUAUCCUCUGCUUCGACAAAAACAAGAAGCGAUACAUCAGGACCGCUAAUCAACUUCGAUCCCGCAACAGUCUCCUGCGAUUGACUAUCCAGCCAGAGGUGCAUUUAAUAAAGGCAGAAUAAAGGAAAUCACAACAAGGGUAUACCAAAACCUCCCAAGGUUACGAGUGGCAGCCCGAGAAGAGGAGUAAGAAAAAGAAAUUGCAUCUUCAAACCGUUGCAACAUCCUCAAAAUUAAUUAGUUGCCUUCGUUCGUUCGCAUCAAAAUUUUUAGUUAAUUAAUAUUAUAUGGAGCCCCCAUAGCUUAAACUUUAAUUUUAUGUACCGAAAGAAUUAACACAACCCUCAGCUCAGAGCAUCUUUAGCAUCAUUAAUUCGGCACACACAUGCACACGCGCACGUAUACACAUUGUCUGAUGCCCAUGUGCAGUUUACACUGCAAUCGAAUUAGCAUAUUAUUUGCACUUCGCGAGAGCCGCUUACGAAUCUGACAGAGAGAGAGAGAGAGAGAGAGGUGCGUUUUUUAUGAUCUUCCACAAGAUUAAAGCAGACCCGUUAAAGGCACUACUGGUACGGCGUCGUUGCCGAUGCGUCAUAUGCACCUGUAUCAACAUCGUUCGGCCCGAAGUUCCCGGAGCUAGGUAUGGUUUUCUACCUGCGAAACCCUGAAGCGUGCGCGCUGGUGGCAAGAGUAUCGUCGGAAUCCUUCUCUCUUGUCUGCAACAGCUGUGGUGAAGCAGAUUUCUUUUUAUUACUGCGUACGACAAGAGUUCUCAGAUUUCGGCGGUUUAUGGAUGGCAAUGAAUUCCAUCCUUCCAAACGCGUUUGGUUCAAUCGAGACAUCAUUGGCGUUCGAUGUAUUUUGCAUCGAACGAUCGAGGCAGACGAUCGUUCUAACCUGCAGCAUGCGGGCAAACGAACGAGGAUACAGUAUUUUCCAGGUCGUAAAACAAGCAUCCAUAUGUUUAAACCAGUACGCAAGGGGCAUAAGUUACCAUUGCUCUCUGAAGCUUGAGGCAAAGAAUGAGGCAAAAAUGUUUUAAACAGCUGAAUAAUUGAAACAAAACAAUCAGUCCUUUUGAAAUAAUGCUUCAGUAGUUACUUUUGUGUAGAAUUUACUUUAACAUCAGUUUAAUCUUUAAGAAAAGUUUUGAGUCACCAAGAAUAGAGCAACGCUGUCGGAUGCUAUGCUAUACAAUGUUGCAGUAAUGUAAUUCAAAGUGUGACACAUUCCUUUUCCGCUUUCUCUCUGUUUUGUUCUCGCGAUAUCUCUCUCUCGCUUUUUGUCUCACUCUCUUUCUCUCCAUAUAGCAGGACAUUUAAAUUUGGAAAGUGCACAGGAGAAGCAGAAGGAAAGCAAUUGGAAAAAAACUGCAUCUCAUAUUACCCCGGAGUUGUAAAAGGGGGAGGAUAGUUUCAAGGUUAGAGAAACUCUUGCAACGUGUGCACAUGUGUGAGUGUUAUGACGCUUUCGAGAUGACUGCCCAACAAGCGAUCCCUGGCUAGGCGCACAGGAUAAACAAUUGCGAAACGGGUAAGACCUAGCCCGCCGGGAGACGGACGGCACUUUAUAGGGCACCCCCUUCUUGACGCCAUUUUUCCGACUGUAAGGCCUAGAUUAUGUCAUGGAAUGUUCAACGCUUGGGGUGGGGUGUUUUUGCCCGUAACAAAUCUAAAGUAAUCAAUAUCCAACCGCUCGUCAGAACAUCCGGCCGCUACACUCAAGGUCGACGCUAGGAGGAUCCAUCCAUCAACAUCGAUGGCAGUUACGGAGAGCCUGUCAAAAAACGAUUCACUUUCUACGGGUGACUCGCGCAAAUCGCGCUCGUAACAUUGUACAAAACUAUUAAAAGGCUAUGUUACACAUUGGAAUUCCACUGAACCUGAGCAAAAGACACGACCCAUGGGGUUACGCCUAAUGAGCGAUAACAAUAGCAUCGACCACCCGUAACAACUGGAAACAACCGAUAAGGCGAAAAGGUGAACACCACAGUUCACGCCAAGUGAUGCUAACCGGGUAAGUGCAGGAUUAAUAUAAUCAUCCGUAGUGAAGGAGUAAAAAAACGCCAUCCACGGGUUUGUUUAUAUAAACAAACGGCCAGCAGCAGAUGUGAGGUGAUGGUGAUGACGAUUCCAGCGGCGGAUGUGAUGAGCGGGAGCGACACAUCAUGCAACAAACAACACUCAAUGUGAUUACAGAUUAUAGCCGUCCCGGUAGCAGCAGUAGCCGUUAAACUGUUUGGACUGUACGAGAGACAAGACAAUCAUCUACCGCUGCUACUCGGGACGGUGAGCCUGCAAAAUGCCUACAGGCAAGAUACGCUGAGCAAACUAGCGUUCCAACAAUCUGCAGUACGAUUUAUCCAACUGCCAUUUUGAACUCGGUUAUUCGUCUUUCUUUCUCUAUUGCCUUGACUCUACCAAUCUCAGUCCUGUGUACAGGAAGGCGAUCUGGGAUGAGAUUUGAUCCCCGGUUCUGCCAUCAUUUCGCAUUAAAACCUCAAAAAGUCCUGGUCUUUCCGUAGCUGGAUAGUUAUUCCGGUGUACAGGAGGAUGCUCUGGAUACGAUUUAAUACCUGCUACUCGCGCUCGAAAGCCAACUAUUCCAUUGACGUCUGUUUCAUGGUUAUCUGAUUUUCUGUACGCGUAGAGUGUGUAAAACAUAUAGUAAAAUCACCGCGAGUGGAUUGUACUUUAUAGUAAAUCAAUUCAGGCGAAUCGUUACAAUUCGCCUUAACUGACUUUCACUCGGUACCACGCAAAAAAACUUACACAUGAUAGAAAUUAACCUUGCUAUUCUCAGCACUUCAGCGAUAUUUCCACGAAAAAAGCAUACGAUGAAAUCAGUUGUAGUAGAUGUUUGUUUACGAUGUAACGUGCAGCGGUUCUUAGAAGUGCGCCACAUUUCGAUUCAUCUGAUCUGAUCUGUGACCGUUGUGAUGAAGGGAUAGCUGUACCGACUUUCGGAAUCAACCAUUGAUCAGGUUAGGUCCAGGAACCGAAUUAACAAUUUUUGUGUGGUGUUUUCGUGUGUUCUGUCUAAAAUUCUCUUAGCUCUCAAUUUGAACAAAAACCCUUAAGGAUUUAGUAAAUUUAUGAGACAUAACAUUUUGCAACUUUUUGACUUGGUCAACGAAGGAACUGUCAAAAUGGUCCAUCGGUUUCGGUUUAUCUGCUUAUGAUUGCUUGACAAUGACUAGGGGCGGCACGGGGUAGAUACGACAGGGACCGGGGUUCAAAUCCUAUCCGGACUGCUUCCCC